AGUGGAGAAAUGAGAAAUGUUUAGAAGGGUUUAGAGGAGAAUGGGAUAACUGUAUCGACAAGUCAUUCCUCAUAAUCCUUAAAGGAGAUGUGACAUGAGAAUGUCAGGGUGAACACGAGAUACACAAAGGGUGUCCCAGCUUGGUGUUACGGAAAAUGAGCUGGGGUUUGGAUUCAUGAAAAUUAGGGUGAAAAUUCAAAGGAGGUCCGUAAAGCUGCCUCAGUCUUGGGAUUAUGGGUCGAUGAAUUUCAGGGCGAAGACUUCGCGUGAGAUUCACAAAGCUGCCCUUGUUUUUCUUUGGCGCGUGGUUCUGUUUGGAAGAGGUAGUGGGUAUGAAAAGGAUAGGUUAAAAGGAUGACCCCCAAUUGGUUUGAUUUCCUUUUGCCAUGCUUUUGGUUAGAUGGUAGGGUGAUCCCUCUUCCCGAGACAUAACCUUUUUUCUUCUCUCUUUUUUUUCUUUUUUUUCAAUUUUUUUUUACGACGCUGUGAAAGUCACCUUAUCGCAAACUUAAGCUUUAUGAAAAUUUGAGCAAUCAUUAUCCAAUCAGUGUGGACUUUAUCAGGCUUGUAACGUGGCUAGGGGCUAAAAGGCAUUGAAAGAAAGGGUAUGAAGGCUCAAAUGAAUGUUUGUCGGUUAUAUUCUUUGCAACAAAGGUUAUCAUCAUCUAGACAUUGCAUCAACUAUUUGACCUUUUGAGCACUUUGCUUUUUUCUUGAACUUCGUUUUUCAUUCUUUUUGCUCAACAUCACUUUGUGACUUUUUGUUCUUUUGUUUUUGUUUAUGUUU
rnacentral:lncRNA from 1 species